rnacentral:tRNA from 1 species
CGGUGCGGAGACCGGGGUUACUUCACUGGUAAUGAGCGGGUUGCGGGUUCGAGUCCCGCCGCGACGG